AGAGGAAGUAAAAGUCGUAACAAGGUUUCCGUAGGUGAGACCUGCGGAAGGAUCAUUAUUGAAUAUGGGUUGUUGCUGGCCUUUGAGGCAUGUGCACGCCUUUUAUUAUUUCUCCAACUUGUGCAUCAUAUUGGGACUGCUGUGCUUUAUGUUUAGUUCAGCUUUCCCUUUUUAUUAUCAUAAUCACAUUAAAAUGUUGAAUGUAUGAAAGAAACAAAAUAAUACAACUUUCAGCAACGGAUCUCUUGGCUCUCGCAUCGAUGAAGAACGCAGCGAAAUGCGAUAAGUAAUGUGAAUUGCAGAAUUCAGUGAAUCAUCGAAUCUUUGAACGCAUCUUGCGCUCCUUGGUAUUCCGAGGAGCAUGCCUGUUUGAGUGUCAUUAAAUUCUCAAACCAUGACUUUUUGUUGUGGCUUGGAUAGUUGGGUGUUGCCAGCUUUUUUUUAUUGCAGGCUCACCUUAAAUACAUAAGUGGUGCAUUUAGAAACUUGUUAGGUGUUGUAAAUUAUCAAUACAUCUAUGUUUCUCUGAAUAUACUGCUUCUAACAAACCUCAUUUGAUGAUUUUGACCUCAAAUCAGGUAGGACUACCCGCUGAACUUAAGCAUAUCAAUAA
rnacentral:rRNA from 1 species